GCAGUAGCCGCGGGAAUACCGAGGGUGCGAGCGUUAAUCGGAUUUACUGGGCGUAAAGCGUGCGUAGGCGGCUUUUUAAGUCGGAUGUGAAAUCCCUGAGCUUAACUUAGGAAUUGCAUUCGAUACUGGGAAGCUAGAGUAUGGGAGAGGAUGGUAGAAUUCCAGGUGUAGCGGUGAAAUGCGUAGAGAUCUGGAGGAAUACCGAUGGCGAAGGCAGCCAUCUGGCCUAAUACUGACGCUGAGGUACGAAAGCAUGGGGAGCAAACAGGAUUAGAUACCCGCGUAGUCCCUGUCUCUUAUAC
rnacentral:rRNA from 1 species